rnacentral:rRNA from 1 species
AUGGAGAAGAAAGGUGGGGAGAGGCAGGGGCAGGAGCAGGACGAUGAGGACCUCGCCAACCUCAUCCUCUCUUGGUCCAUCCAGGACGUCGUCAACCAGGACCUCUUCAGGGACAAGGUGAGCCGGAUACCAGACAGGUUCUUGGGCCUGAGGAGCUACCUGGAUUCAUUCAAGGCCCCGCUGCUGGAAGAAAUCCGAGCAGAGAUGAGGUCCAACCUGCUGGACGCACAGACCAACCGCCCCAAGCCCGUGCAGGAGAUACAGCCGUUGUACUUCCGCAUGCCAAUGGGCGUGCCAAGGCCCCCACUGUAUCGCGUGACCAUCCGUGGAGCUUGCCCUCCAUUCAUGAGCGACAUCGUCGUGCUCUCGGCGCUGCUUCGACCGUCCGACCUUGCCAGCAGCAAGGAUGGCGCCUCCUACUGCCUUGCACAGGUCCUCAAAGUCCACGACGAGAGCAGCAGCUUCGUGGUCAGAGCUUCCCAUAUAGUAGACGGUUACGUCAACAGCUACGCGUUCGUUGUUAGGUUGCUCAGCUUCAUACCCUACCAACGCAUCUGGCGGUGCCUCCGCUACCGAGCCAACUCUUCCGUCAAGAGAGACGACUCCGUUCUCAAGGCUAUCGCGGGGGAAGCGGAAGACUCCUCCAUGCCGCUGAUCCUAUGCUUUGAAGGUAAAUGA